GACGAACGCUGGCGGCGUGCUUAACACAUGCAAGUCGAGCGGUAAGGCCCUUUCGGGGGUACGACGAGCGGCGAACGGGUGAGUAACACGUGGGUGACCUGCCCUCAGCUCUGGGAUAAGCCUGGGAAACCGGGUCUAAUACUGGAUAUGACUCCAUGACGCAUGUUGUGGGGUGGAAAGCCUUGUGCGGCUGAGGAUGGGCCCGCGGCCUAUCAGCUUGUUGGUGGGGUGANGGCCUACCAAGGCGACGACGGGUAGCCGGCCUGAGAGGGCGACCGGCCACACUGGGACUGAGACACGGCCCAGACUCCUACGGGAGGCAGCAGUGGGGAAUCUUGCGCAAUGGGCGAAAGCCUGACGCAGCCGACGCCGCGUGAGGGAUGACGGCCUGG
rnacentral:rRNA from 1 species